GAAACAAGGGAAAGACUCGUAAAGAGGCUGCAGUAGAGAAUCUUGUGCAAUGUAUGAAAGUAUGACACAGGGAUGUCGCAUAAGAUAGACCGUCAAAUAUACGUGCCAGCCGACGCGGUUAUACGUAAGGUCUAAGUUUUUGUUGGGAAAGGCGUAAAGGGUGUGAAGGUGAAUGAGUUUAAAAGGGGGUAAAUAUAACUUUUAUGUAGCGGUAAAAUGCUUGAAUAUAAACAGGUACAUCAAAAGCGAAGGCAAUUUAUUACUAAAAACUGACACUCAAGCACGAAAGUAGGGGUAGCAAACAGGAUUAGAUACCCUGGUAGUCCUUACUGUAAACUAUGAGGAUUAGAUUAUAAGUUAGUCUACGAGAACUCAAAAGAUUCCGCCUGAAGAGUACGAUCGCAAGAUUAAAAUUUAAAAAAUUUGGCGGUUCACUAAACCAAUUAGAGGGGCGUGUAGUUUAAUUCGAUGAUCCGCGAUUAACCUUACCAAAACUUGAAUAUUUAAUAUGUAAAUAAAUGAGUAUUAAAUACAGGUAUUGCAUGGCCGUCGUCAGUUUGUGUUGUGAAAGAAAUAGAAGGAGCUCAACCCUUAACGAUAAUUUUGUCUGAAUUACGUAAUUAAGGAUGACGUCAGGUCCUUAUGAUCCAAAUGUUUUGGGCUAUAUAUGCGCCACAAUCUUUUAUA
rnacentral:rRNA from 1 species